rnacentral:misc_RNA from 1 species
UACAGAGGCCCCAAGCGUUAUCCGGAAUCACUGGGCGUAAAGGGUGCGUAGGCGGUUGUAUUAGUCGAUAGUUAAAACCUGGGGCUCAACCUCAGGCCUGCUGUCGAAACGGUACAACUUGAGGAUGGGAGAGGUGUACGGAACUCAUGGUGUAGGGGUGAAAUCCGUUGAUAUCAUGAGGAACACCGAAGGCGAAGGCAGUACACUGGCCCACUCCUGACGCUGAGGCACGAAACCCUGGGGAGCGAAAGGG